rnacentral:lncRNA from 7 species
UCUACCAGAUGCUCCUUCAGGAUGCAGGACCCACCAGCGUGCACCGCCUUCAUACCCCUCCCGGGUGGCCGUGUCACAAACGUCGCCACGGCGACGCGGUGACAGCGUGGCCAGUGCUGGCCGCCGCCCAUGAUGACGCUGGCACCAGCAGCCUGCUGCCCACCCCGGUGGCAGUGCUGGCACCUCUCUGUUUCCUCUCUCUUCUCUUCUUUGCUCUCCAUGUUAUGUGACUCGUUUUUCUUUAGUAGCCGUUGCCUGAAUUGAUCUUCAAGUUGUUGACACAGAAACAACUCCUGUUCCAAAGGACUCUACGCGUAACGUUGAAGACCUGUUGCCAGAAGGUUUCUUUCCUUUGCCUGGCAGUUUUUUCCUUGAUUCUUUGUUGGAACGCUCACUGAAUUACCCGGCAUUGAUCCUCGACGUCAUUGUGGUGACUGCGUCGCACCCGCAACCCUAGCGGGCAGGGAGUGCUGUGUUUGGGGGAUCUGCACCUGCACUCCCCUUCUGCUGUCCUUUCUUCCCUGUAGCCUCGCUUGCUUUUGCAUUUGCACUUCUCUUAGGCUCUUGGUUCUUCCCUGUAUUCUCCCUGCUUUUCCGUCUGCAUUCUCACUCUUUUCCUGUUUUUUCUCUUCUGCUUCUCUUCUGCUGUUCUAUCCUCUGUGUAUCCUCACUGCUCUUUCAUCUCUAUCCUUGCUCUUCAGCGUUUUUUUCCCCUGCUUCCUCUCCGUACUUCGUCUGCCCUGCUUUUCUUCCCUGUAACGUGACGUCUCUUUUCUUCUGCAUCGGCUCUCCUCCUCCUCUUUCUUCCCUGUAUUCUCACUGCUCAUUCUCGGGCAGCUGUGCUCCUCUUCUGUUCUUUCCUCCUUGUAUCCUCACUCUUCUGAUGGUUUCCAUUGCAUCUCACCACUGCUCUUUCACCUGCAUCUGCUUUUCUUCUGC